UGCCCCAUGGCUGAGUUGGUUACAGCGUCCGACUGUUAAGGUUCAAUCGGAAGGUCGAGAGUUCGAGCCUCUCUGGGGCAG